AGUAAAAUUGCUAGAUUAUAUGGUAAUUCUACAUUUAAAUUUUUUAAGGAACCCCAAAACUGUUUUCUACAGUGGCAUUACCAUUUUACAUUUCUACCAGCAAA
rnacentral:pre_miRNA from 1 species